rnacentral:lncRNA from 1 species
UGUGGCAGGACCCUCUCUGCCAUGCGGGCCAUCCGUGUUUGAGCACUGCUGGGCGGACCCUGUGCUAGCUCUAUUCCCUCCCUAUCUCCUCUCCGCUUCGUGCGCUGGCGGUUGAUGGACGGACUCCGAAGACCUCAGCCGUAACAAGAUGCCGAUCUCGCCGCUGGGACUUCGGCCGCUUGUAGCGGGAUCCCGAUCCGGCCAGGCGUCCAGCAGAGUCCGACCGGGCAGGUUCCCCUGGACUCGGAACCUCGCAGCCGUAUAAAACCGAGGCGUCCCUUUUGCAUCCGUGGCGUCCGCCAUUACCGAGCGCAGAGGGAGAAAGCAGCGUCGCCACCGCGGAAUCCACACCUCGGGGUCAAACCGGUGUCCUGCGUGGCGUCUAGAGUUUUGGCCGAGUUCGGUGGUUGACACUACGGAUGUGUUGGAUCGGGUGAAUCAGUGGUGGCGAGUUAAUUCCUCGCCGGAGCACCAGUCCACCGUGAAUUCGCCUAUCGCCGUGGGCGCUGAUUACCGUCGCUCCUUUCUCGGGUAUGUAACUCCUACUGCGUUCGCCACAUUCCGUACUACGCAUACUCGUCGCCGAUUGGGUUUUGGUCGCCGUAUUGCGCUUGGGUGAAGAUCCGGCGAUGGCGUCCGCCACGGCUGGGACGGCGCGGGUGCGCUCGGUUCUGGAGGAGGGCGACGGGUCCGUGGCCAUCGGAUCCGUGGACGACGGUUCAGAUUAGAGCGUAGCAUACCAAUUGGGUGGAAGAGCAGAGAAGCGUUUGAUCGUGAUCUAGCGGCUUGGAUUUGAGCGCGCGUUCGGGUAAUACUGACCGUAGAUCUUCAAUCCAACGUAUGGCGGGUUAUACCGGUUCAUUGACUCGUGAAUCUAAUCUGGGCGCUCGGCUUGCGAUCCAACGGCUCAGAUCGCACCGUACCCUUUCGCCGAGCCGAAAUUGUAAAAGAGCCCCUCUACUUUUCAAGAAUCAACCCGCAGUCCAACACUACUGUGCUCUGUGUCUAGGGAAAAUUAGGAUUUGGCCCCUGUGUUAUCUGUAAAUAGUGCGCCCAGUCCUGGGAAUUAUAAAAUCUAGAAAAAGUGAUUAGAGAAUGAUUUUAAUGAGAAAAUAAAUGCUAAAACUUGUUUAAUUCAUAUAAAAUUCAUAUUAAGUCCAAAUAAGUCCAUUCCAAUUUCUAUAAUUUUAUAAUAUUAUUGUUUAUCAAAUAGUGCCACUGAUUUGACAUGAAAGCCACUUUAAAAUUUAUCUCCUAAUUAAUCUUAUACGAAAUACAUAAAACCAUAGGAAAUUCAUAACUCCUCCGUUUUAACUCCGAUUUGAUCCGUUCAAGUUGCGUUAGUCUCGUAGCUUCGCGUAGAUUAUUUUUAUGCAGUGUGUUCUUAUGUUUGGUGUAAUGUUAAUUUUGCCUAUACACUGUUUGUUUGUAUUGCUACGAUUAGCAGUGAGGUCACGAGUCAUCUGAAGAUCAUCCUAGUACCUGGAAUCUCAAGUCUCAGGCAAGUUGUGCCCUUGAUCACUUCUUUUUACCCACUCAUGUUCUAAUUAAUCAUAAUGAUCUGCAUAGGUUAAUUUUGAUGGGACCCAAUAGGUUACCCUAGUUUGUCUACCUUUAUACCUUGAUUACCACUGGACUUUUUGGGUAGUACUUGCUAUUGCUUUAUGUGGUUUUGGGUAUGAAGAUACAUUAUUCAUGAUCACACUUUUAUUAUCUGUUUAUUAUUACUGUUCAUGAUAAGAUCAUUAUGUUAAUUGGAACAUGGAGCGACCACCCGGGAAAACAGUGCUACCACAAGGGUUUAAUGGGACGCCCUUGGCCGAUUAAUUAGGAAAGCUAGUGGAAGACUACCUUACCCGAAAGGGGCAAGGGCAGUAGGGGAGUGGUCAGUGUAGGGAGGCCCUCGGGAGGAUUUUGCUGCGAUGGCGGUCCUGCAAGGGAUUCCUGCAUUGGAGCUUCCUAUAAACUGUAGCGGGUUUUCUGAAGCUAGUGGAACUUUGUAAAGGCCUCGUAGUGUUACCAUGCCUCGCCUCCUCGGUAGAGGUGUAUGGGAAGUCGCGAUCCCUUGGCAGAUGGGUAACACGACUUGUGGGUAAAGAUGCGCAACCUCUGCAGAGUGUAAAACUGGUAUACUAGCCGUGCUCACGGUCAUGAGCAGCUCGGACCCUCACAUGAUUAAAUUAUGGAACUUAAAUUCAAUUUGUCAUAUGCAUUGCAUCGCAGGUGAUGUUGUUACUUCUGUUCUACUAUUUAAUUGGGUUGGUAUUUACUUAUACUUAGUAAUUGCUAAUAAAAUUUUGACCAACUUUAAAAGCAAUGCUCAGCUUCAACCAUCCUCUUUGGUAAGCCUUACACUUCACGUGAGCUCCCACCUUUGGCGAGUUCAUGCACAUUAUUCCCCACAACUUGUUGAGCGAUGAACGUAUGUGAGCUCACUCUUGCUGUCUCACACCCCCCCCACAGGUCAAGAACAGGUACCGCAGGAUGUGGCGCUUGGAGGAUGCUGCGAUGUGUUCGUGAGAGGUCUAGGCCGUCGUCUCCCAGUCAACUUUGGGUUGCUGGACCGUUGUCUCCUUAUAAUGUAAAUAUUUAUUUUGUAUAGAACUCCUGUUAUAUAUAAAGAUGUGACAUUCGAUCCUGUGCCAUGAUUCAUCAUAUGUGUGAGACUUGGUCCCAGCACACCUGGUGAUUAUGUUCGCGCCUGGGCUUUGGACCCCUAAAACCCGGGUGUGACAGAAGUGGUAUCAGAGGAAUGUUGACUGUAGGACGAAACCUAGAUAGAACUGGACAACCAUUAUCUACUUACCUUUGCUACUCUGAUUCUUUUCUAAACUUAUCUUAAUCUUCUCUCAUCUAUUUCCGCUUUACUCUGAUAAUUCUUACCUUUUCUUUCUAAAGACAAAUGUGGAUUUCAAACUUUGAAAUCCCGUACCUAAGACGAUCUUUAGGAAUAGGAGACCUACUCGUAGGAAAAAAAACUAUUUUAAUAAAUAUUGAUAUGCUUGUUCUUAUGAUGCUUGUCUGAUUUGGAUCUUUGAUUGAGUGUGAUGGGUUGUGGAGUAAUGUCCACAAUCACAUCUAGGGAAAAAUACUUAAAAAAUAACUAGAUAAACUAGAUUAUCACUCAUUUAAGUAUCUAGCCUAACAAUAUCCAUCUCAUCUCGAAAGAUUCUUUCCUACACUCAUAGAUCCAUCUCCUCUCAAAAGAUCCUAACUUAUCCUAAUCUAGCUUAAUAGAUUUACCUUAUCUUAAGAGAUACUCUAUUGCCUUAAUAGAAUCAUCCUAUCUUUGAAAAGAUCUUAUGUCAUCCAAACAGAUCUAACAGACCUCAAAAGAUUCUACCUUAUCCUUAUGGAUUCAUCUUGCCCUAAUUAGCAUAUUUAUCCCACUCUAGAAUAACAACCAAGAGCAAAAAGAUCUAACUCAACCAGUAGAGUCAUGAUGGAUUGCAUAAUCUGUCAUUCCCCACCUAACUUCAAACAAACUUUUGACCUACAUCAUGUAGUUCAUCUCACCCAUAACUACUUCGACCAUAUGCCCGAACUCUGCUGAUAUACAGUAACCUCGAAUUAAUGAGACCAAGACUGAAAAAAAGAAAAGAUCAACCUCGUCAAGGAAGGAGAGAAGUCGAACUCAAUCUUCAGAUGCAUUACCACCCAACACGAAGUUCUUCCUCAUCAUAAACUUUCUUACCCCUGGCUAUUCUUACCCUAACCUAUCCAUCUCUUAUAUCCUACAUAAUAUGUAGUUGGAUACCUAUGCUCUCCUAAUCACCCACUAUUGUCUAAAAAAAGAUGAGACUCUGGAUUUUUGAACCAAUUAUAGAUUAAAAACCGAAUUACAAACCAAUCCUUUUGUAUCCCUUUUCUUACAAAUCUCGAGGACGAGAUUUCUGUUAAGGGGGGUAGGAUUUGUAAGGCCUAAAAUCCGUAUAAAAAAUUUAAUAAUAAUAAAAUAAAUAUAUGAAGAAAUGAGAUAGUAAAUUCUGACAUCUCAACUUAUGCUUGAGCAAUGAAUGUUGAGGAUUGAAUUUUGAAAACCAAGAACUAUUUUGGAGAAGAAGUAAUAGAAAAGUUUCCUAUUCAACUAAAUGAAUAUGCAUUUUAUUAACUGAUGCACCAUAAGCAUUUAUUUACAUGAGUAUUCACGUUUGGAGUAAUUAUUAACUCAUAUCCCACAUUCAAAAUACUAUUUUCUAAAAAAUAAAGAAAACAAUAUGAGUGUUUAUCAUAAUUCAAACAUAUUCCAAGCAAAUAAGUUAAUUAAAAUAAAUAUGUAUCUAUCGCUUCAUAAUUGAAUUUGAUUAUGAAUUAAAGAUUUGAGUUCUUAAACUUUAUUUUGAUUCCAACUUGAAAUUUGUAAACCAAAUAUAAGAUAGAAAAUAAAUAAAAAAAUGAAUUUGGAGAGGAGGAAAAGUGAUUAGGAAAUAAAUAAGAAAAAGAAGGGAAAAUAGGAAAGCAGUGCAUGGGCUCAUUUUUCCUGGCGCAGCCCACUAUCACCUUCGUUCGGCCCACCAGAAUACCCCCUUGCGUAGCCCAGCUGGUUUUGGCGCCGACAUCACGGGCCCACCGGUCAUCUUCACGCGCUCGCGCUCGUUUCUGUGUGUCGCUGGAUCGUGGGCCCGACUUGUCAGGAUCAUCUCCCCCACUGCCCCACAGUGUUCGCUUGCACGGCGUACAGGAUGGUUCUGCUUGGCCUGCGCGUGUGGCAGGACCCUCUCUGCCAUGCGGGCCAUCCGUGUUUGAGCACUGCUGGGCGGACCCUGUGCUAGCUCUAUUCCCUCCCUAUCUCCUCUCCGCUUCGUGCGCUGGCGGUUGAUGGACGGACUCCGAAGACCUCAGCCGUAACAAGAUGCCGAUCUCGCCGCUGGGACUUCGGCCGCUUGUAGCGGGAUCCCGAUCCGGCCAGGCGUCCAGCGGAGUCCGACCGGGCAGGUUCCCCUGGACUCGGAACCUCGCAGCCGUAUAAAACCGAGGCGUCCCUUUUGCAUCCGUGGCGUCCGCCAUUACCGAGCGCAGAGGGAGAAAGCAGCGUCGCCACCGCGGAAUCCACACCUCGGGGUCAAACCGGUGUCCUGCGUGGCGUCUAGAGUUUUGGCCGAGUUCGGUGGUUGACACUACGGAUGUGUUGGAUCGGGUGAAUCAGUGGUGGCGAGUUAAUUCCUCGCCGGAGCACCAGUCCACCGUGAAUCCGCCUAUCGCCGUGGGCGCUGAUUACCGUCGCUCCUUUCUCGGGUAUGUAACUCCUACUGCGUUCGCCACAUUCCGUACUACGCAUACUCGUCGCCGAUUGGGUUUUGGUCGCCGUAUUGCGCUUGGGUGAAGAUCCGGCGAUGGCGUCCGCCGCGGCUGGGACGGCGCGGGUGCGCUCGGUUCUGGAGGAGGGCGACGGGUCCGUGGCCAUCGGAUCCGUGGACGACGGUUCAGAUUAGAGCGUAGCAUACCAAUUGGGUGGAAGAGCAGAGAAGCGUUUGAUCGUGAUCUAGCGGCUUGGAUUUGAGCGCGCGUUCGGGUAAUACUGACCGUAGAUCUUCAAUCCAACGUAUGGCGGGUUAUACCGGUUCAUUGACUCGUGAAUCUAAUCUGGGCGCUCGGCUUGCGAUCCAACGGCUCAGAUCGCACCGUACCCUUUCGCCGAGCCGAAAUUGUAAAAGAGCCCCUCUACUUUUCAAGAAUCAACCCGCAGUCCAACACUACUGUGCUCUGUGUCUAGGGAAAAUUAGGAUUUGGCCCCUGUGUUAUCUGUAAAUAGUGCGCCCAGUCCUGGGAAUUAUAAAAUCCAGAAAAAGUGAUUAGAGAAUGAUUUUAAUGAGAAAAUAAAUGCUAAAACUUGUUUAAUUCAUAUAAAAUUCAUAUUAAGUCCAAAUAAGUCCAUUCCAAUUUCUAUAAUUUUAUAAUAUUAUUGUUUAUCAAAUAGUGCCACUGAUUUGACAUGAAAGCCACUUUAAAAUUUAUCUCCUAAUUAAUCUUAUACGAAAUACAUAAAACCAUAGGAAAUUCAUAACUCCUCCGUUUUAACUCCGAUUUGAUCCGUUCAAGUUGCGUUAGUCUCGUAGCUUCGCGUAGAUUAUUUUUAUGCAGUGUGUUCUUAUGUUUGGUGUAAUGUUAAUUUUGCCUAUACACUGUUUGUUUGUAUUGCUACGAUUAGCAGUGAGGUCACGAGUCAUCUGAAGAUCCUGGUACCUGGAAUCUCAAGUCUCAGGCAAGUUGUGCCCUUGAUCACUUCUUUUUACCCACUCAUGUUCUAAUUAAUCAUAAUGAUCUGCAUAGGUUAAUUUUGAUGGGACCCAAUAGGUUACCCUAGUUUGUCUACCUUUAUACCUUGAUUACCACUGGACUUUUUGGGUAGUACUUGCUAUUGCUUUAUGUGGUUUUGGGUAUGAAGAUACAUUAUUCAUGAUCACACUUUUAUUAUCUGUUUAUUAUUACUGUUCAUGAUAAGAUCAUUAUGUUAAUUGGAACAUGGAGCGACCACCCGGGAAAACAGUGCUACCACAAUGGUUUAAUGGGACGCCCUUGGCCGAUUAAUUAGGAAAGCUAGUGGAAGACUACCUUACCCGAAAGGGGCAAGGGCAGUAGGGGAGUGGUCAGUGUAGGGAGGCCCUCGGGAGGAUUUUGCUGCGAUGGCGGUCCUGCAAGGGAUUCCUGCAUUGGAGCUUCCUAUAAACUGUAGCGGGUUUUCUGAAGCUAGUGGAACUUUGUAAAGGCCUCGUAGUGUUACCCUGCCUCGCCUCCUCGGUAGAGGUGUAUGGGAAGUCGCGAUCCCUUGGCAGAUGGGUAACACGACUUGUGGGUAAAGAUGCGCAACCUCUGCAGAGUGUAAAACGGGUAUACUAGCCGUGCUCACGGUCAUGAGCAGCUCGGACCCUCACAUGAUUAAAUUAUUGAACUUAAAUUCAAUUUGUCAUAUGCAUUGCAUCGCAGGUGAUGUUGUUACUUCUGUUCUACUAUUUAAUUGGGUUGGUAUUUACUUAUACUUAGUAAUUGCUAAUAAAAUUUUGACCAACUUUAAAAGCAAUGCUCAGCUUCAACCAUCCUCUUUGGUAAGCCUUACACUUCACGUGAGCUCCCACCUUUGGCGAGUUCAUGCAAAUUAUUCCCCACAACUUGUUGAGCGAUGAACGUAUGUGAGCUCACUCUUGCUGUCUCACACCCCCCCAUAGGUCAAGAACAGGUACCGCAGGAUGUGGCGCUUGGAGGAUGCUGCGAUGUGUUCGUGAGAGGUCUAGGCCGUCGUCUCCCAGUCAACUUUGGGUUGCUGGACCGUUGUCUCCUUAUAAUGUAAAUAUUUAUUUUGUAUAGAACUCCUGUUAUAUAUAAAGAUGUGACAUUCGAUCAUGUGCCAUGAUUCAUCAUAUGUGU